rnacentral:rRNA from 1 species
AAUAGAUACCCUGGUAGUCCUAGCCGUAAACGAUGAACACUAGAUGUUGGUGGUAUCAACCCCUUCUGUGCCGCAGUUAACACAAUAAGUACCCCGCCUGGGGAGUACGGCCGCAAGGCUGAAACUCAAAAGAAUUGACGGGGGGCCCGCACAAGCGGUGGAGCAUGUGGUUUAAUUCGACGCAACGCGAAGAACCUUACCAGGGCUUGACAUCCCUUGAUCGUCUUGGAAACAAGGCUUUCCAGUGCUUGCACUGGACAAGGAGACAGGUGGUGCAUGGUUGUCGUCAGCUCGUGUCGUGAGAUGUUGGGUUAAGUCCCGCAACGAGCGCAACCCCUGUUCUUAGUUGCCAGCAUUAAGUUGGGCACUCUAAGGAGACUGCCGGUGACAAACCGGAGGAAGGUGGGGAUGACGUCAAAUCAUCAUGCCCCUUAUGUUCUGGGCUACACACGUGCUACAAUGGCCUAUACAGAGGGGCAGCAAACCCCGGUGAGGGGGAGCCAAUCCCACAAAGUAGGUCCCAGUUCGGA